GGGAGACUUGUGUUAUCCCUAACACGGAUCACUAACCCCGUGUCUUAACUUUUGUUAAGUGCUUGGAUCUCGGAUCUACAAACGAACAGUUUCUGGAAUGGAUCAUCUGGUUGAAGAAUUGUCUGGAAAACUCUUUCUUCUUUGCCAACCCUGUUCACGAUCUCAUACAGCUGGGGUUCAUGUUUGGAUCAAGACGGAGGUAAAAAGCUUAG